rnacentral:rRNA from 1 species
UACGGGGGGGGCAAGCGUUGUUCGGAAUUACUGGGCGUAAAGGGCGCGUAGGCGGCUCUUCAAGUCGGGCGUGAAAUCUCCGGGCUUAACCUGGAAGGGUCGUUCGAUACUGUCGAGCUAGAGUGUGGAAGAGGCUACUGGAAUUCCGUGUGUAGCGGUGAAAUGCGUAGAUAUACGGAGGAACACCAGCGGCGAAGGCGGCAUCCUGGACCAAUUCUGACGCUGAGGAGCGAAAGCCAGGGGAGCAAACGGG